AAACGACGCAACGAUAAUAUGAAUGCCU
rnacentral:sRNA from 1 species